UACGUAGGGCGCAAGCGUUGUCCGGAAUUAUUGGGCGUAAAGAGCUCGUAGGCGGUCUGUCGCGUCCGUUGUGAAAACUCGAGGCUCAACCUCGGGCUUGCAGUGGAUACGGGCAGACUAGAGUGCGGUAGGGGAGACUGGAAUUCCUGGUGUAGCGGUGGAAUGCGCAGAUAUCGAGGAGGAACACCGAUGGCGAAGGCAGGUCUCUGGGCCGCAAGCUGACGCUGAGGAGCGAAAGCAUGGGGAGCGAACAGGAUUA
rnacentral:rRNA from 1 species